rnacentral:RNase_P_RNA from 1 species
UGGGUCGGCCAGGCGGUCGCGACAUAGUCGAGGAACGUCCGGGCUCCACAGAGCGAGGUGGUGGGUAACGCCCACCCGGGGUAACCCGAGAGAUAGUGCAACAGAAAGUAAACCGCCCGCAAGGGUAAGGGUGAAACGGUGGUGUAAGAGACCACCAGCGGAGUAGGUGACUAUUCCGGCUAGGUAAACCUCACCUGGAGCAAGACCAAGCAGGAGGCAGGGCUGCUCGCCUAAUGCCUCCGGGU